rnacentral:lncRNA from 1 species
GUAUGAAAAACUGCUCUCAAUUGCCGAGCCCUUCUCCUCUCGGCUAGCUGACUCUUUGAACCAUUUUCCAGCUGAUUGACUGGCGCGUGUUGGCUCACAAAAUCCUCUAGUGAAUGACUGAACUAUACCUGCAAAAUAAUGAAAAAUCUUCUCCCCGGUCUGCUGUUUCUUCUCCUCCUUUUAUGGAAAAAUAUAACCUCUAAUAAUUCAAAACAAAACUUGAUCUUAUCCCCU